AGACAUACAAAUUAGGGAAAUAGACACUGUACCAAAUAGUCCAGAUUUCAGCAAGAGUACCACUUUUCUGUGAAAUUCGGCGAGAAGGAAAGACGGCGGUGAUACAUGAAUGCUGAGAAGAUGCGGCGGAGAUUUUCAAUUGGUUUCCCAUUAUUCUAAAAAAAAAAAGCGUCAAAGAGUUCCUAAGAGUCGGAAAAGGCCCUUUUUAUCCUGACUGUUCGAGGAGAAUAUCAAUGGGGUGGAAAAGUCGUUUCUGUCCUUGCUCUUCUCUGUGUCAGAUGGGUAUAAUGAUCGGGGUUUCUGUCCUUGCUCUUCUUUCAACAAAAGAGAGAAGCGAGCAGAGAGAAAAGAGGGGAGAGAAGAAAGAAAAGAACAGUUGCAAGAUUGUUGGGGUACAAGAAAGAAGAGGAGAGAUUGAAGAUUUUGGUCGAAGAGGUUGCUGGGUUUUGGAAGAGGUGUGUGUUUCAUUUGGGUAUAUGUUUGAUUUAGAACAAAACAGCGACUAAAGUGUCAGACCUCUACAGUUUAAAAUCAAGGAUAAGGGAUUUUGUUUUUUAUUUCAUGCUUCGCUGAAUAAUCAUACUGAUAGCUUAGACAUUGUCUGAAUGCUUAUGCCUUUAGUAACUAUAUCUGGAAAUUGACUGAAUGUUUUUGCCCUUGGUUUUCUCAGUUUUGGAUAGGGAUUGUUGUCGGGUUUGGAAUUCAGCCAUUCAGCCACUCAGAUCAAGAUCAAAAAAAGUAAAAGAAGAGAAAAGAAGGAAAAGAAGAAUCGAAGAGAGGGGAAGAUCUCGCCGAGAAUAGACCGGUUCAAAGUCAGAUCAGAGAGUUGUAAUUAAUCAAAAGACAUAUUACUACACCAGGAAGCAACGUCCUUAGUCGUGAUUUUGCUUUCAGCUUUCGAGUGUGCACAGUGCAAUGAGAGGAACAAUGAGGUUCAGUUUGCUGGUGAGCUUCAACCCAAGGGUUGUAACUACCACUUGAAGGUUCCUUCUGGGGAUCCCAAGAUGCUUGAUAGACAAGUGGUGAAAGCUGAGUUUGCUACUAUUAAGGCCCUUCACUGUCAUGAAGAAAGGAAGUCUUUGUUUGGGGAUUUAGAGGCACAUUACUAAUACAAGUGUUAAGAAGCUUCACAUCACAAGCAUUGACAGCUUCCAGAUUGCAAAAAGCAAGAACAACUUCCAAAUGUCGAUUAAUCAUGCAGGUGAGGCUGCAGUUCGUUCUUGGCUGAAGAGAACUAAGAAGGUUCCGAAGAGGAGUGCAAAAUCAAAUCAGAAACUGGCAAAGAAAUAUAAGAAAAACAAAGACGACGAAGAGGAUCAAGAAGAAGUCGAUGAAGAUGAGAAGGAAGAGGAUGAUGCCCAGGACUAAUAUGCUGUGAUGUGUGAGGCUUUGAUGUCUGAAGAGAGAGAGUGUAAGAGUUCAGUUUUACAAGAUAAGGAAAGCUUUUUUGAAGCAGCUGAAAAUGUUCCUGGGGUAAUAUUUUCAACUUAGUUCUCAUUUUGUUAUUAAGAUUUGGUUGUAUUGAAUUUAAUUGUGAUUUGUAUUCUUAUAGAUUUUGUGAUAGUUUUGGUUGAAAGAAACCGGGGAAGGGUUUUGAUUCUUUUUGAUAUGUAGCAUCUGGCGAAGAUGUGAUUCCAUGAAGUCAAGGUUGCUGUGAGUCCCUGUGACAAGUCAAGGCAUGAGAAAUUGUAUCAUUCAUUUAUGAUCAUUGAUGAGAAAACUUAUAAUGCUGGAAGAAAAAUGGGGAUUUUGGCUUCUCAUGCAUUUUACCCAACAUCCAAUGUUCUUAAGUUUGUCUGUUUUUACUUCUUGCUUGAAGAAUGAAGACAUGAACUACUACAAAAGUUCUCACUCAGAUAGACUUGUACUGUAGACAAUCGAUUGUUAGAGAGCAGACAACCACAAUUUCCUCUUAUAGGCCGAUAAUUUAUUUGUUUGUUGUGUUGUUUUGUUCAAGUACUUGGUGCGUCAGCAUUAUAAGGGAGCUGAAAGAUUUUAUUUU